UACCAGCACCCCGAGUGGUCGGGACGAUUAUUGGGCCUAAAGCAUCCGUAGCCGGUUUUACAAGUCCUCCGUUAAAUCCAGCUGCUUAACAGAUGGGCUGCGGAGGAUACUAUAAGACUAGGAGGCAGGAGAGGCAAGCGGUACUCAGUGGGUAGGGGUAAAAUCCGUUGAUCCAUUGAAGACCACCAGUGGCGAAGGCGGCUUGCCAGAAUGCGCUCGACGGUGAGGGAUGAAAGCUGGGGGAGCAACCGGG
rnacentral:rRNA from 1 species